rnacentral:rRNA from 1 species
UACGAAGGGGGCUAGCGUUGUUCGGAUUUACUGGGCGUAAAGCGCACGUAGGCGGAUCGUUAAGUCGGGGGUGAAAUCCUGGAGCUCAACUCCAGAACUGCCUUCGAUACUGAGAGUCUUGAGUCCGGGAGAGGUGAGUGGAACUGCGAGUGUAGAGGUGAAAUUCGUAGAUAUUCGCAAGAACACCAGUGGCGAAGGCGGCUCACUGGCCCGGUACUGACGCUGAGGUGCGAAAGCGUGGGGAGCAAACAGG